CCUUUACAAUGCUGCUUCAGCCUGAACCAAUUUCCCAAAUGAAGGAUUUAAGGCCACCUCUUGGAGUUACAGGGAUAAAGGCAGCCUUAACCUCCAGGGAAGGAGACCCUUUCCCCUUGGGCACGAUAUCCUAGGGCUGGUACCCAUUUGCAGGUCCAGGUGGUGGAGUCCGGAGGGGGAGUUCAGGUGUCCAGAGGAUCUCUCUGCCUCCCUCACCUGCCAAACCUCUGGGUUCAACUUCAUUGCCUAGUAGAUGGAGUGGUUCUGGCUCUCCCCAGCCACGGGGCUGCAGUGGGUGGCAGAGAUACGCAAAGCUGCCAACAACCAUGCCACCGACUACAGUGAUAUGGUGAAAGGGUGGUUCACCAUCUCCAGGGAUGACUCCAGCAGCCUGCUGUACCUGCAGACGAAUGGCCUGAAGGCAGAAGACACAGCCCUGUAUUACUGUACCAGACACACAACAAUCAGAGAUGUAUUAGAGUCUCUAUGAAAACCUCUCCAAACGCUCCCUCCCUCCUGGUGAUGCCACAGAGCAGCAGUCAUUGAGAUAACGGAUCAGUCCAGGCCCAGUACUCCUGGAUUUCAAGUUCUCCAGGCCUUGCACCACCUGUUUGUGUCUUCAUGGCCCCAAUCCCAGGUCAUCCUGGCCCCAUCUGGAGCAGAAAUAAAGCAGCCCAGGGUUUCCACUAGUCAAUCCAGUAUAACAUGCCUGCACCCCCAGCUUGCCCAGAGGUAUUCAAUAGGAUCCUCCAGCUUUGGGCUGCUCUCACGCAAAUAGAAAUAUGCUGUGUUUGGAUUGCCAGCAGUAAAGUAACUGUUGGUGAGCAAAACAGCUGUUCCAGCAAUGGACUGUC